CUAAACUUGAAGCCAGCCUGGUCUCCAAAGCAAGUCUCAGGCCAGCCAGGCACCCAGUUUAAAAGUCCCAAGGAUGGCAGGCAGGUGACCGUGGGCAUGGCUUCACACCCAGCUAAACAGAUGAGUUCUUAAACGAUUUAUUGACUAAAGAUGGGCUAAGGAACUGGACAUGCAUACCUCAUUCUUUGCCUUCUCCUUUGAGAAUAAGUUGCUGAGAAGACGAGCUCUGAUUUCCUUUUCCAUGCCUCAUAUUUGUGUCCCCAGAUUCACAGCCUACACUGAAGCCAACAAGACCCAAAUUCCAACCACAAAAUCUCUUCUUCCUGCUAUAAUUUAUUACCUCAGUUGAAGACAACAUCAAUCCUCUGAGUCACCAUCCUUCAUCACCGCGGCCCUCCCCUCCCCCUCCAUCUUUCCCUAUGGUAUGCAGCCCUGGGAGCCUUGCUGGAUCUACGCAAGAGCUUCUUUGUUUCCACUCGGGAUCCCAGCAGCUCUGAAUGUAGCACGCCAUGGCUCUAUUAUUUAGAUGAUUCCUGUCUACCUC